GAGAGAGCAUGCACGUGAUUGCACCAGUGGGUUAAUGUGUUGGAGUGAGUUUGUGUUAAUAGAAUGCGAGUCUAGGAGAUUGAGAAUGUGUUAUGGAGUACCGUAAUAAACCUCUGACUUGCUUCCCCUCAUACUCAGCCCAUCCUGUGACUCUUCCGGCAUAACAGCCAGUGGACUGCUUUGUUGUUGGACCACUGAAGCCCCAGAUACCAGACCCAAACACCAGACCCAAACCUACAUAGGCUCUCUGACCCGUGAGAGCUGAGGGGAGGAGAAAAUGUCAGCAGCUUAGUUUAAAGAGAAUGCAUGACUCCUGUGGACACACAAUAACAAACACACACUAUAAUCAGAGAUUAGCUGUCUGUGUCUAGACAGAGAGAGAGGCAAACUCCUCAGUAUGCUGAAACAGCAUCAUAGCUCUACCAGGCCUCCUCACACACCACAACGAUGUCUCACGCUAUGAUAAACCGCUGUGCCUGGAGCAGGGGAGGGAGUAGCCUAAUGAAUAAAGGAAAUUAUUGAUGCAGGGAAGGGGAGGAGGGGAAAUGAGGGAUCAGCAUUCUCAAUUCAUAUGCAAACCAGGGUCCUUAACAAGCCGUGCCUAAUGCGCUCAUUAGUCUUAAUUACUCUGAGACAUGUUAACCCCGCAUUGGUUUCCACUUCUGUCUCGUCCAUUCAAAUGUGACAAUUUCCUCAUCAUCACCAGUCUAUUGUAAAUGAGAAUGUGUUCUCAAUUUGCCUACCUGGUUAAAUAAAGGUGAAAUAAAUAAAUAAAAUUCAGGAUCAUCAGCACACACGCCUUGUCCACACACACACACACACACACUCUCGCUCUCUCACACACACACACACACACACACACACACACACACACACACACACACACACACACACACACACACACACACACACACACACACACACACACACACACACACACACACACACACACACACACACACACACACACACACACACACACACACACAAUGUAAUUGAUAUAAUUGAUUCUGAGUCAAAAUGGUUGUAGUAAUCUAUAUGUGUGAUCCAUGCAAAGAGACAGGGGCUAACCAGGUCCCAGGGAAAGAAACUGGAGCUAUGCAGACCAGGUCCCAGGUAAAGAGACAGGGGCUAUGUAGACCAGGUCCCAGGGGAAGAGACAGGGACUAUGUAGACCAGGUCCCAGAGGAAGAGACAGGGACUAUCCAGACCAGGUCCCAGAGGAAGAGACAGGGACUAUGUAGACCAGGUCCCAGGGGAAGAGACAGGGACUAUGUAGACCAGGUCCCAGGGGAAGAGACAGGGACUAUGUAGACCAGGUCCCAGGGGAAGAGACAGGGACUAUGUAGACCAGGUCCCAGGGGAAGAGACAGGGACUAUCCAGACCAGGUCCCAGAGGAAGAGACAGGGACUAUGUAGACCAGGUCCCAGGGGAAGAGACAGGGACUAUCCAGACCAGGUCCCAGGGGAAGAGACAGGGGCUAUCCAGACCAGGUCCCAGGGGAAGAGACAGGGGCUAUCCAGACCAGGUCCCAGGGGAAGAGACAGGGACUAUCCAGACCAGGUCCCAGGGGAAGAGACAGGGGUUAUCCUGAGAAGUGUAUAGGUAUUCAUCUUAGCUCCAUGGCAGUUGGUUUAACAUUUGUACUGAGUGUGUUCUCUGCUGCCCGUCUGUGUUCACUUGCACAGCCUGAUGAUAUGAAUCUCUCUGUCACGUCUCUCUCUCCCCUCUCUCCUCUCUCCUCUCUCCUCUCUCUCUCUCUCUCUCUCUCUCUCGUGUGAUCUAGUGAAUGGUCUGGUGUCGUUGAUGAUCAGUAACAUCAGCAGCCCAGUCAACCUGAAGAACACACCAUAUUGGAGUUUGCUGAGCUUAUCAGGAGUCUGGUGGUGAGCCGCAGUCAGAUCCAGUUCCUUCCAGAGGGGCAGGACGACCCUCAGAGGCGACGGCCCGACAUCCGCAAAGCCAAGAUGAUGCUAGGCUGGGAACCUCUGUGGUACCGUUGGAGGAAGGCCUGAACAAGACCAUCCAGUACUUCAGCCGGGAGCUGGAGCACCAGGCUAACAACCAGUACAUCCCCAAGCCCAAGGCAGCCCGCCAGAAGAAAGGACAACCCAGACAAAACAACUGAGCUCAGAGGGUCAAGGUUCACGUCAUCCAAAAAAAGGCUGCUGGGUCACUGGAGGACUCAGGAACCUCCUCAGAGUACUCUCUUGAGAUCGGAGCGAAGACAAAGACAACAUAAAAAUGUCCUGUAUCUUCUGUUGUUUUUUUGCUGUGACGUUUGUGACAUGAGAACUCAAACUGUCCCACCAUAGAGACACUACCGUGGGAGAUUUAUUUUCAGACAUUUUUUCAGACAAGAUAGACUUGCCUGAAUGAAAGAAUAGGAAUCACAAACAGAAAAUACAUAACAACGAUCAGAAUCCAGUCUUGCACUCUGGGUUUUUUGUCAAUAGAUAUUUUUUGUUAUUUAAGAGCAGGCUUGAGAGAAGUGUUUUGUUGCGGUAUUUACUCUGUGCAGUUUUAGUUAUGUUUUGUUUGUUUGACGUUAUCUAUUUUAUCUUUGUUGUUUCCUGUCUCUUAAGUAAAAUACUGCUUUGUAUUCCAACCAUUGGUACAUUGGAGGAGAGGAGGGGUGAAGCAGAGUGAGCCUCAGUGUUGUGCUUUGCCCCCCGUUCUACAUUCGCCCUGGCGCCGUUCAGUGAGCUGUAAGCCUGGACACAAACACACACCAGGAGUGUGUUUCUGCGUCACUGUGAGCGUGUUGGGGUUCUAUCGGAGUAUCCUUUGUGAAAGCUCUACUGUCAAAUCGGAAAUCCGUAAAUCUUAUAUAAUUAAUUUCAGGUGA